rnacentral:rRNA from 1 species
GAGUUUGAUCAUGGCUCAGAUUGAACGCUGGCGGCAGGCCUAACACAUGCAAGUCGAGCGGUAGAGAGAAGCUUGCUUCUCUUGAGAGCGGCGGACGGGUGAGUAAUGCCUAGGAAUCUGCCUGGUAGUGGGGGAUAACGCUCGGAAACGGACGCUAAUACCGCAUACGUCCUACGGGAGAAAGCAGGGGGACCUUCGGGCCUUGCGCUAUCAGAUGAGCCUAGGUCGGAUUAGCUAGUUGGUGAGGUAAUGGCUCACCAAGGCGACGAUCCGUAACUGGUCUGAGAGGAUGAUCAGUCACACUGGAACUGAGACACGGUCCAGACUCCUACGGGAGGCAGCAGUGGGGAAUAUUGGACAAUGGGCGAAAGCCUGAUCCAGCCAUGCCGCGUGUGUGAAGAAGGUCUUCGGAUUGUAAAGCACUUUAAGUUGGGAGGAAGGGCAGUAAAUUAAUACUUUGUCUGUUUUGACGUUACCGACAGAAUAAGCACCGGCUAACUCUGUGCCAG